GGGAGCGUCCGGGCCUCCCUCCCCGGCCUCUCGGGGUGGGCCGGGGCUCUUCGGCGGCCGGAGCCUCCCUGUGCCCGCCGCGCUCCGCUCGGGCCGGGCCGGGCUCCGGCCGCUCUUCCGCCGCGCUCCCGCGGAGCUCCCCGGUGCGCUGGUGGAGGUGAUGACUCUUUCCCCGUCAGAGAGACAGUGUUGACUUAUCUCUGUCCAAGCCAGGUCGUGUCUGAUGCACCAGCAGAGCGGCCGCGGGCCGGCGCUGGCCGUGCGCUGCUCCCGGUUCUCACCGCGCUUUGUUCCCCAGGCCGGAGCCUCGUGGGAGCCGCGCCCGGAGCCAGCCCGGCCAUGGGGGCGCGUCCCCGGCGUGCGCCGGCAGCCCCGAGCCUCUGCCGGGGCCAGGCGGGCACUGUGGAGGCAGAGGUGGGGAGCUGAGCCUUAGGGAGACCUGAAGAUAAGGCUGCAGCUGACAGUAAAACAGUGUGUGAUGUGGGCAGUUCUCUGGUGUGCUCCACUAUGCCUGAAUCUCUAACAAAUAAUGGGCACUGUGAAGGCAGUAGUGGGGGGCUGAGCCUUGGGGAGACCUAAGUUAAGGCUUCAGCUGACAGUGAGGAGGUGUGGAUGAGGACAUUGCUGGUUUGCUCCACCAUGUGUGCACUGUUGUCAGGGGAGAAUGGUUGAGAUUUAUAAAAAGUUGUGCUGGGCCCUGCUGGAGUUGCAGUGUUCUGCUUAAGAAGAUGGAUGGCUCUGCUGCUCGGGAUCCUCGUUCAAGCCACAGCAUUCCCAUACCCUGCCAUAGCUCUGACCUCUCAAAACUGUCAGGAGUAAUGAAUUUGUGUCCUGCCAACUUAGAUGGAGGGUGCUUUAUUUUCUGUCCCCUGGGUACAAAGGCAUGUCACUGGAAUGGCUUCUGGAACUUGCUUUGCUGCAUGUUUAAUGCAGUUGGAUGCUUUUUUCUGCAGGGGCUGCAUUCCCUGCCUGGCAGCUGAUGUUGUCCUGCCAUAGUCAUAAAAGGCAAGGAAGCCUCUCCUCAGAGCAGCUGUCAGGUGUGGGAGGAUGGCAGUCAGGUCUUGGUUCUCCCCUGCCAUCCAGAAAGUUCCAGUGGGGUAUCCCUGGCAGCCUGUGAAGUGGGCAAGGGCUGUCUGGCUGCUGCAGCAGUGUGUUUCUGUACUAUUGGAAGCCUGGUUUUAAUAAAUCCUUGAGUAAUGGGUGA